UACGGGAGGCAGCAGUGGGGAAUAUUGCACAAUGGGCGCAAGCCUGAUGCAGCCAUGCCGCGUGUAUGAAGAAGGCCUUCGGGUUGUAAAGUACUUUCAGUCGUGAGGAAGGUGUUAAGGUUAAUAACCUUAGCAAUUGACGUUAGCGACAGAAGAAGCACCGGCUAACUCCGUGCCAGCAGCCGCGGUAAUACGGAGGGUGCGAGCGUUAAUCGGAAUUACUGGGCGUAAAGGGCACGCAGGCGGUUAAUUAAGUUGGAUGUGAAAUCCCCGGGCUUAACCUGGGAAUGGCAUUCAAGACUGGUUAGCUAGAGUCUCGUAGAGGGGGUAGAAUUCCAUGUGUAGCGGUGAAAUGCGUAGAGAUGUGGAGGAAUACCGGUGGCGAAGGCGGCCCCUGGACAAAGACUGACGCUCAUGUGCGAAAGCGUGGGGAGCAAACGAGGGAUUAGAUACCCUCUGGAAC
rnacentral:rRNA from 1 species